rnacentral:rRNA from 1 species
AUUGAACGCUGGCGGCAGGCCUAACACAUGCAAGUCGAGCGGAUGAGAGGAGCUUGCUUCUCGAUUCAGCGGCGGACGGGUGAGUAAUGCCUAGGAAUCUGCCUGGUAGUGGGGGACAACGUUUCGAAAGGAACGCUAAUACCGCAUACGUCCUACGGGAGAAAGCAGGGGACCUCCGGGCCUUGCGCUAUCAGAUGAGCCUAGGUCGGAUUAGCUAGUUGGUGAGGUAAUGGCUCACCAAGGCGACGAUCCGUAACUGGUCUGAGAGGAUGAUCAGUCAGAAUGGAACUGAGACACGGUCCAGACUCCUACGUGAGGCAGCAGUGGGGAAUAGUGGACAAUGGGCGAAAGCGUGAUCCAGCCAUGCCGCGUGUGUGAAGAAGGUCUUCGGAUUGUAAAGCACUUUAAGUUGGGAGGAAGGGUUGUAGAUUAAUACUCUGCAAUUUUGACGUUACCGACAGAAUAAGCACCGGCUAACUCUGUGCCAGCAGCCGCCGUAACAC